UUGCGGCCGUAUCACAUCAAAACACCGGUUCUCGUACGAUCAUUGAAGUUAAGCAACGUAGCGCCUGGUCAGUACCUAGAAGGGUGACCGCUUGGGAAGAUUAUGUACUGUAAG